GUGAAUCAUCAAAUUUUUGAACGCAAAUUGCACUCUCUUCGGAGAGUAUGCCUGUUUGAGGGUCAGUAUUAAUAAAAAUCGGGGUGUUGCUUCUUUGUGACGCUCCGGAGUUUGGGUCAUCUUAAUAUCCUUUAGGUUUUAAGAGGCUUAAAAUUGACUUUUUUUGCGCAUUUUAGAUGUACAUAAAUUCUUUUUUUUAUUCGUCUGUCUUAAUGCUCAAAAUCCUAUUAGAUGCGACCAUAUCGUAUGGCGUCGUGUGCUUGAAUUUAAAAAGAGUUAACCUUA
rnacentral:misc_RNA from 1 species